ACAUUCAUAAUUGUGGGCCAAACGUUGCGUUUUCUAGGAGAUUGAAGGUCGCGCUUCUUCUCCUUCACUUCAACCCAUUUAACUUGAAAAAGACCCCAAACCCCACACAUUCUUCUCUUCCACUUCAACCCUUUCAUCACUAGAUCAUCAUAUCGCACAAUAUCUUCCACAGCACCAUCGUGAUGAACGUUGAUCAUCGUCGACAUUAGCAUUGAGUGAGUGUUGUUAGUGCGUCUCUUCUGAAAAUGCCAGCAAUGAUCAGCGCCAAGACUCACUGAAGUGAAUGUGAGGACCGUUGAACACGCUCGUCGAAAAAAGGGUUGUUGCCUGCAUUAAAGGAGGUGAUGCCGCAUGCUCAUCACCGAAAUUGUGUUAGGCAUAUCUGAAAGAAUUUUACAAAUAGAUACAAGGAUAAGCAAGUCAAGAAUAUUGUGUGGAAAUGUGCUAAAUGUACCAUUGAUGCCGAAUUCCAAGAAAGUAUGAAGUUGAAAAGGAUCAAUGAAGAUGCAUGGAGCUAUCUAUCCAAAUUUGACCUUGCUUGCAAGACCAAAGCCCACUUUAGUCACAGGCCAAAGUGUGACAACCUCACCAACAAUAUGUGCGAGGUUUGGAAUGCAAAAAUAGUGAAUUACCGGUCAAAACCAAUUCUUACAAUGUGUGAGGAGCUUCAAUGCUAUAUCAUGCGAAGAAUGACCAAAUACAAACAAGUAUUGGAGACACACAUGGGAAUUGAGGUGGCACUGACUCAACAGAAAUGACUUGAUGAUAUAAUGAAGGACGUCAGGUAUUAACAUCCAAUUUGGGUUGGUGACGACGAAAGGAGAAUCUCUGAGGUUCAACAAGGCUCCAAGAAGCUUUCUGUCAACCUGUCCACCAACAAAUAUACCUGCAAUGCUUGGAAAUUAACUGGUCUUUCUUGCGUUCAUGCACUUGAUACCAUAGCUAGAAGGGGUGCCAGACCUGAGACAUAUGUUCACCCACUGCUUAAGAUUGGGGUAGCAAUAGCAACAUACUAACACUACAUACAACUUGUUAAUUUGGAGGAGUAUUAGGAGAAACAAAUUAUCUGAAUCUAGUUCUCCCAAAGCUAAAGAGGCUAGUUGGCAAACCAGUCAAGAGAAGAAGCAAAGAGCCAUAUGAAACUUAAGCUAGCAUAACUGAUGGUAACAAAGUUAAGAAGAUGUUCUAGGUUACUUGUAGCAAGUGCGGAGAGAUUGGCCACAAUUACAAGACUUGCAAAGGCCCUCGAGCAGCAACAACUAUAAGACUAACCAACCCAAACAGAAGAAAGGCAAAGGCAAGAACAAAUUCUGAAACAUCAAACUAACCUGCAAAUGAGAUCCAUGUCUCGCAAUCAGUACCACAAGUGCAGAUAAUAACCAUGAUCAAAUAAUGUAGUAGUUGUUGAUCGCGAGGACUGGAUAGGAUUUUUAAUACUUCCAUAAGGACUAAGUUGGAUAUUUUAAAAAUCACUAAGGGCUCAUGUGCCUUUUUUAAAAUUCUACAAGGACACACUUGGAAUUAUGUUUGGCUAUUUUUUCAUUAUUUUAGAAUGUGGUUGAUCAUUCUAAUCCAUCUCAGGCAGCAGCUAAUGCAGCAAGUUUUGUGUUUAAUGUGCAUACUAUGUCGUCUCCUUCAUCAUAGGGUGCAACAAAUUUUGGAGCAACUAUUGCACCGACUACAAAAUCCAAGCAGCUUAUCAUUAGACUACAUCAUCCUGCACCAGUCUAGUCUCGCACUCUACCUCCUAUACCACCACAUAGACCAAAUCAAGGCAUCUCGACAGAAACAAUUGCAGCUGCAAGUAAGGGUAUUGCAUCAAGGAUGUUCCAGUUUAUUUCUAAUCCCAGUUUCAAGCAUUUAAGAAAGAAGUGAUGAAGAGCUAUGCAGUCUGAAGACAAAUAAUUAUGCUUUUUUGAUGUCUUAGUUUAAUUUGUAUUUUGGUUAUGAGCUUUCAAGUUCAAGGAUCUAAAUUUGAAAUACUCUGAAUUUAGGGAAUGAUGACAGAUUAUUGUGGAUGAAACCCUUUUUUUGGAUCAUGUUAGUUUAAGUUGAAUACUAU